AGAAUAGAGGCUAUAGGAUUGCGGUUGGCUUGAAACCAUUUUUAGGAGGUUCGAGUCCUCCCUUUCUUG
rnacentral:tRNA from 1 species